UGUUUGUUUAUGGGUACCUGACCGAUCCUAUUUUGAGAACCCACCCUAAGCCAUUUUAUUGCCGUCGUAAGAAAUAAUCCAAUCAUUAUAAAUAGGGGAGCUCUCGCCCCAUGGACAACUCGAACCAUGCAAGACGGACCACACAAUUCAAAAUCAUGGUGCAAAAAAUAAUAAAAAGAAAAUACUGACCUACAUGUACCUACCUACCCU
rnacentral:lncRNA from 1 species